rnacentral:rRNA from 1 species
GACGAACGCUGGCGGCGUGCUUAACACAUGCAAGUCGAACGGUAAGGCCCUUCGGGGUACACGAGUGGCGAACGGGUGAGUAACACGUGGGCGAUCUGCCCUGCACUUCGGGAUGAGCCUGGGAAACUGGGUCUAAUACCGGAUAGGACCCUGGGAUGCAUGUCCUGGGGUGGAAAGCUUUUGCGGUGUGGGAUGGGCCCGCGGCCUAUCAGCUUGGUGGUGGGGUGAUGGCCUACCAAGGCGACGACGGGUAGACGGCCGGAGAGGGAUGACCGGCCACACUGGGACUGAGAUACGGCCCAGACUCCUACGGGAGGCAGCAGUGGGGAAUAUUGCACAAUGGGCGCAAGCCUGAUGCAGCGACGCCGCGUGAGGGAUGACGGCCCUCGGGUUGUAAACCUCUUUCAGCACCGACGAAGCGCAAGUGACGGUAGGUGCAGAAGAAGGACCGGCCAACUACGUGCCAGCCGCCGCCGUAA